rnacentral:rRNA from 1 species
AUGGCGGCCGCACCGACCAACUCGUGGUGUGGCGAGGACCGCCUGAGCGACCUCCCCGAGGACGUCCUCGGCAUCAUCCUCUCCUACCUCCCCGCCAAAGAGGUCGCCCGCGCCGCCGUGCUCGCCAGGAGCUGGCGCCACUCCUUCGCCACCGUUGAGGCCAUGUCCUUCGUCCAGGACAAGGCCCACGACAAGGACGACCGCAGCUUCACCGCGCAAUCCCAGGAGAAGCGCAGCAAGAACGGGGACUUCAUCGAUGAGGUCAACGCCGCGCUCCUCUGCCGCCGCCGCUGCGGCGCCCGCACGGCGCCGCGCGCCUUCCGCGUCAACUUCGGCUGCUACACGCACUGGGACUCUGCCGUGUUGAACCGGUGGCUCUACCACGUGCUUAAACGCAGCAGCAAGGAGCUCCACCUCGACCUGCGCCUCCAGCACACCGACCUCGCCGAGCACCACGUCAAGGAACCAUACAAUGGCGAAGGCGACCGCGAUUGCGACGACCCCCGCGCCAACGACCCGGCCGACGACAGGUGCCCCGCGAGCUACUCCUAUCAGUCCUAUCGCGCAGAUGAGUACGCGCUUACACGAAGCCUCUUCUCGUGCGUCGUCAUACGGACGCUCUGUCUCGGCGCCUGCACGUUGGAGCCGCCCGAGCGCAUUGAGCUGCCUUUCCUCGAGACACUGUUCCUAAGCACCAUCAGGAGCACCGGCGGCAACAUCCAACGUCUCAUCUCCGGUUGCCCGCGCCUCAUCGACCUCACCCUCGAGCGGUGCGGCUACACAAACAAAAGUCACAAGGACCCUCUCCCCGACAAAAAUUUCACCAUCACUGUCCUGGAUAAGCAUCUCCGCAGAUUCUCCCUAAGGUGCUGCCACAACCUGGUCCGAGCGAGCAUUGAUGUGUCCGAGCUGAGGACGUUCGAGUACAGGGGCGACGUGCCGUCGGAGUCGCUCCUCACACUCCACGGCGCGCACAAGAUCUCUUCGUGCACCAUCGGUUUCUGCGGCAGGAAAGUUUACAAGGGUGAGUUGCCCCUGCUCAGAAGCUUCCUCGAGCAGUUUACCGGCACAAGACAUCUGCAUCUCGUGUCUACUCAUCUCGGUUCAGGCAUCGGGAGUGAGUUUUUCUCGGGAUUCCCCUACUUUCCGAGCCUCGUGCGGCUUGAGCUGACAGGAUACCUUGGAGGACGCAGCAUCAAGGCGGUGACUAGGAUACUUGAAGUUGCUCCAAGCAUUGAGAUUUUGUCUCUAUUCAUGAAGCCAGGUUAUGAGGACAGAUAUCACACCGGAUACUUCUGGAGGCAACAGCAAGAGCUCAUCAGUGAACCGGCUCUAGAUGUUUCGAUCCCGUGCUUGCGAAAUCGGCUGAGGAGUAUCAACCUCGUGCACUACCAGGGCGACAACCGACACAAAUAUCUAGCCAACCUGCUGCUUUGUAAUGGGAUGGUUCUGGAACAAGUGUGUGUUGCCUUUCCAAGGGGUGAACACAAGUUGCAGACUAGACUCAAGAAGGAAAUCGAAGGAUGGUUGGUGAAUAAAUCAGCAAAAGUGAUAUUCUUGUAA